UACAUUUAAAAAUAUUGUUGGAAUAUUGGCUAUCUGCUAAAAAUAAACAAAUCUAAAGUACUGUGCUGUAUUUACCAAUUAGACUAAUAUUUCAUUAUGAACAAGGUUUAUUUCAUUGAUCAAAAUGUUCUGUGUUUGUUAUUAUGCAUUUUAGGACAGUGAGGCAGCAAAUGACAGACUAGUCCACUUUCUGAAGCUUGGAUUACCCCAGGAAAACAUCAGUAACAUUUUAGGUGUCACUCAUACAACUAUCGUUCGUCGGAUGAGAGAAUGUGUUUGGCCAGAGAGAGAAUCCAAUAAUUAACCCUGAGAUGGAAUAUUCAGACUCAAUGGCAGUUGAACAAGAUGGUGGAGAUGCUGACCAUGUUCACUUUGCAGUCAACGUGCCUGUAAUUCACAGGCCACAACUCACAAAUGAGCAAAUUGACCCACUGCAAGUGUCUGAUUCAUUUGGAGUAGAUGUAUACCUCAAGACUCUCACAUAUGUACAGACUUUGAUUGAAUAAAGGGAUAUUUGAAGGUUUAUUUCUGCUGCUCUAAUUUUGACAGCAAGGUUGUAAAUGUGUAUAUAUAGUUGUAUCUUAAGUAAAACUUGUGGAAACAACCUUUUAAGACAUGUAAAAUAAUUAAAUUUAUUUUAAAAUGUUA